rnacentral:piRNA from 1 species
UNCAGAGUGACUACUUGGGUUGUCUCUGC